rnacentral:tRNA from 1 species
GCCCCUGUAGCUCAGUGGUAGAGCGACUGCAUGGUAAGCAGUAGGUCGCGAGUUCAAUUCUCGCCAGGGGCU